UACGUAGGAGGCAAGCGUUGUCCGGAAUUACUGGGCGUAAAGCGCGUGUAGGUGGUGGGACAAGUCUGCUGUGAAAUCUCCUGGCUCAACUGGGAGGGUGGUCGCGAGACGGCUGGGCUUGAGGCUCGGUGAGGGGCGUGGAAUUCCGGGUGGAGCGGUGAAAUGCGUAGAGAUCCGGAGGAACACCGACGGCGUAGGCAGCGCCCUAGACGAGACCUGACGCUCAGGCACGAAAGCGCGGGGAGCGAACAGG
rnacentral:rRNA from 1 species